AGUUUUCUUCACAAUAUUUAGUUAUUUGUUUUAGGGCAAACUUUAAAUACCAUCCUUAUGGUUUCGUACUUUCUCACUUUAGUACCCUGUAAUUUAAAGUGUAUCAAUUUAGUACCAUAUAUUCUCUUCUUUUUUUUUCAUUAACUCCUCCGUUAACAAUUUCGUUAAAUUAUAUAUAAAAAACUUCAGAUACCCCACCUAAGUUUAUCGAAUAUUCACUUCAGCACCUUUUAGUUUUCACUUUAUCACUGAUUUAAUGAAAAAAUUUAGUGGAGAAAAUAAUAAAACGAGAAAAAUAAAACUACGGGGUAUUAAAUUAAUACACUUUAAAUCACAAGAUACUAAAAUAAAAAAGUGCAAAACCACAGGAGUGAUAUUUGAAGUUUUUCCUUUGUUUUAUUAGAGGUGC
rnacentral:lncRNA from 1 species